UACCCGGGGCUUGUUGGUCAGGGUAAAACUACGACUACAACUAUUUCUAAACUCGGUCGAACAUCUGGAAAUAAGGGAUAAAAGAACGCUGUUGCUGAGGAUUUCUUGAAAGUUUUUUAUUAUAUUUUAACCUUAGAAAUCCUGCCUUUAUUACGUCAAGGGAUAGCCCACAGAGUUCAUAGACAAGGGACAAAGCAGAUGUGUUUAAGAGAACUAAGGAUUUUAUAAUUAUUUUAAAAGUUGGAGUGCUACAGUCAAACUGUAUAACGUCCUUUUACUGCUUAAAACAUAUUUUCUAUGUAGUAAGGGACGAGGAAAAAAGGUUAACGACAACAAUAAUCUACUGAAAACUUUAUAUUGCGCCGCUCGUCUGUUAUAUUAAAAAGAGCACGACGAGCGUAGUAAACUUUAAUAAAGCUUGUGGAUUCUUUGCAGAAAGAAAUUUUUACAUGUCUCCAACAUUCUGGAUUCUUCCUUAAGCGUGGACAAACAAUUACGAAAAAAAACGAUGCUGGUGUUACACUAUAAAUUUAUUGAGUAACAUCCACGUCCCGUGCCCAAGUGAAAUGCCUUAAAGCUCUAUAGGCUAUAGCGGUCUAAACUGAUACCAGAAAGUAUGAAAAAGGCUCCUAGUGGCUCAAAUUAAGAUGAAUUUCAAAUCAAUAAAUUCCCCCCUCCCCUUCCUCCCCCACCUGCCGCCUCGUGCGAGGGCCCAACCAAGCGUUGUAGUGGCGGGAAUCCUGGUGGACUGCCGAAUGGAAAUGCCUGGCUGCUUUCGAGAGGUUAUUCCUCUGCGACUUAUUCGUGUCCGAGAAGAGUAUACGCGUAAGCAAAGUUCAGGUUUACCUUAUAAAGAAAAUAAUAAUAGUAAUAAUAAACUUGUGAUGAACCGAAAGUACUUGUACUGCUCCAUCCAUAAACUUCAAAGCUGCCUCGUGGCCUUCCUGCGCAUUGAAGCAGUUUCCUUAAUAAUAGGUAAAUACCCUUCAACAACUAGAAGAAAAACAUCCAGCGAGUCGACCGCGCCGCCGGAAACUUUUGAGUCACAUGGUGAAUCACGUGAUGAGGAAUGAGAUGAUUGGCUCAGGGUGAAUGCAGGGGACACACGUUUUCGCUGUUAACUUUCUAUAGAAAAAAGAUUCGAAUAGAAAAAGGGUAGUGACCUGCAAGAAAAAAACAAACAAUAGGCCAUCGCUGCUCGCACUCAACACUACAGUACUUGUAUUAGCAGUAGUACUAAUACUUUUCCUAUAGGUUUGCUUAUCGUUUAUUACUACUAUUAAUACUGUGAAUGGACGAACACCUGUUAAAAAGAAACUUUUGGGUGCUUUAGUUUCCGAAAACAGCUUAAAACUGGCGCAAAAUAUAUUCGGCUACUGGUGAAUGAAUUGGAAGCAAUAUAUAUAUAUAUAUAAUUUGAACCAAAUUCACUCGUCCACUGGUAUAAGGCGCUUUAUUUUUUUUCGACUGGCUGCAAGGAAAGUUGGUCUUCAAAAAAACUUUU